GUUUGUCAAGGGGUGAUCAGUGAUCUUUUCAAAGUUUUCUUUGACUCUUUCUGUCCUGCUCGGUUCACUCACCUUUCCGCCCCCAACAAAUUGUUCCAAUCAUUUUUGUCAGCCGUUGGGACGAAGAUGAGGCGCGUGCACGGUGACCCCCACCCCCUUCGCCACUCUUCUUCUACUAACCUCCUUCACGCGCACGCGCGUCCUCCCUCCGAAGACGAGUGAUGUCACGUGGUGGCGAUAAACAGCUGAGAUGAAAGCGAAUGGAGAUGCCGCGUCGGUGCCACCCUCGGGCCCCAACCCUUUCCCAGUCAAUCCGGGGGGGCGAGCCAGCGCAGCCCAUCCCUCCUCCCGCAGCCCAGCAAGGGGGCCAUCGCCACCCCUAGGGAUCCAGGGUGGUCCCCCAGGCCACCCGCGCCCCAAUCAACCGGCCUUCAUGGAUGGGAAGAGGGGACAACAUAAAUAUCUUAAUGCGCUAAAAGUUUGAUCUCUACACCAGCAAGCAGCCUUUUUCGCUUGGUGCAGUGACAUGACGCACAUUAAAGGCGACAGGAGGCCUCCACCAAGGCCUGCCCAUCCAUUGAGCUUCAUGUCCUGUGAUGAACCUCUCUGGAUGGUGGUCCAUGCAGCUGAUCUAAUCCUUUGCAUGAUUAAUUCCAUACACACCACCGUUCCCACGAGGGCCUGCAAUGCUGCACUGAAGUGUCACAGCUUGCAAACUUUGGAAAGACUUUUAGGGCCAUGUAGAGGUGACCAAAUAAAAAAUGAUAGCUGCAUUUUGGAGAAGCGUCGAUCUUAUUGAAUUGAUAAAGGGAAAAUCUGUUCUACAACUUAAUAUGUUGUUGCUCAUGAACAGUAAAACACAAGGUUCAACAUCUUGAUGAGCUAAAUGGAGAUUAAAAUCUCGCAGGAUGAUUUUUUGGGAACUGAA